rnacentral:rRNA from 1 species
GACGAACGCUGGCGGCGUGCUUAACACAUGCAAGUCGAACGGUGAAGUAGAGCUUGCUCUAUGGAUCAGUGGCGAACGGGUGAGUAACACGUGGGCAACCUGCCCCAGACUCUGGAUAACUCCUCGAAAGAGGGGCUAAUACCGGAUAUUUGCAUUGCAAGACAUCUUGUGAUGCAGGAAGAAUUUCGGUCUGGGAUGGGCCCGCGGCCUAUCAGCUUGUUGGUGAGGUAACGGCUCACCAAGGUGACGACGGGUAGCCGGCCUGAGAGGGCGACCGGCCACACUGGGACUGAGACACGGCCCAGACUCCUACGGGAGGCAGCAGUGGGGAAUAUUGGGCAAUGGGCGCAAGCCUGACCCAGCAACGCCGCGUGAGGGAUGAAGGUCCUCGGAUUGUAAACCUCUUUCAGCAGGGACGAAGCGAAAGUGACGGUACCUGCAGAAGAAGCACCGGCUAACUACGUGCCAGCCGCCGCCGUAA